GUGUUAGGAGCUAUAGCAGGGAGCUGUGCUGUUGGAGGAAUGAAGCAGUACAAAUCUAUAUCAGGUGCAAGGAAGGAGGCCCUGAGGCCUAGGAACCCCAGCCAUUGAUCAGUACCCCACUGUGCUAAGUGUUGUACAAAGACUGUCCCUGUGCAAAAAGUUUACAACCUAAGUAUGAGACAACAGAUGGAAAGAGACAGACCAGGGUGUACAAGGAAACAGACAAUACUGUUACCAUUUGAAAUGCAUUUUCUUGGACUAUGCAAGAGAUCUGCGUUCUCACUCCUGAAGCGGACAAAAGCUGGGGCAGUGGCAGAGAGAACACAUUGCCUCAUUCUACAGCAAUCCCUCUAGCUGAACCAAGUGAAGAAUCAGUGGACUCUGAAAGGAGGCACAUCCAGUUCUCUCUGGCCAAAAGAAAUCUGAAUGUUUGCUAUGAUGCAGAAUGUUUAAGUGGAUUAGACUAUGGGGAAUGAAUGCUCUAUGCAGACUGCACUCAGAAAAGGCCUUUGAAAAAAAAGGCAAAGGAUUACAAUUACAAGUCAUUUACUUGUACUUUAAAGUUGAUAAAGAGAAAACAAUCUUUUCUAAACCAAGGGAAAUAUGAAACUCUAAAUAAAAUUGUUUUCCAUGGUAUUAUAUUAUUGCCAUUCUCCCUUUUGCAACAUUGAUAUUUAAGUAAUCUAUUUUGCUACUGAUGUCCUAGAUCAUGCAUAAAUUCUAAUGCUAACCUGUGCACCCUUAUUGAUCAGCACA